UGCUCAUUUCGGCAGCACAUCCCUAAAGUUGGAACAAUACACAGAAGGUGAGCAUGGCCCUGCAAGGGUGUCAUGCGAGUUUGUCAAGCAGCCCACAUUUUU